AUUGAACGCUGGCGGCAGGCCUAACACAUGCAAGUCGAACGAGUGGCGGACGGGUGAGUAAUGUCUGGGAAACUGCCCGAUGGAGGGGGAUAACUACUGGAAACGGUAGCUAAUACCGCAUACCAUCGGAUGUGCCCAGAUGGGAUUAGCUAGUCGGUGGGGUAAUGGCUCACCUAGGCGACGAUCCCUAGCUGGUCUGAGAGGAUGACCAGCCACAUGGGAAUGGAGACACGGGCCGGAUCCCUACGGGAGGCAGCAGUGGGGAAUAUUGCACAAGGGGCGCAAGCCGGAUGCAGCCAUGCCGCGUGUAUGAAGAAGGCCUUCGGGUUGUAAAGUACUUUCAGCGAGGAGGCGUUACUCGCAGAAGAAGCACCGGCUAACUCCGUGCCAGCCGCGCGGUAAUAC
rnacentral:rRNA from 1 species